AUUGAACGCUGGCGGCAUGCCUUACACAUGCAAGUCGAACGGCAGCACGGACUUCGGUCUGGUGGCGAGUGGCGAACGGGUGAGUAAUGUAUCGGAACGUACCUUUCAGUGGGGGAUAACGUAGCGAAAGUUACGCUAAUACCGCAUAUUCUGUGAGCAGGAAAGCAGGGGAUCGCAAGACCUUGCGCUGAUUGAGCGGCCGAUAUCAGAUUAGCUAGUUGGUGAGGUAAAGGCUCACCAAGGCGACGAUCUGUAGCGGGUCUGAGAGGAUGAUCCGCCACACUGGAACUGAGACACGGUCCAGACUCCUACGGAGGCAGCAGUGGGGAAUUUUGGACAAUGGGGGCAACCCUGAUCCAGCCAUGCCGCGUGAGUGAAGAAGGCC
rnacentral:rRNA from 1 species